rnacentral:rRNA from 1 species
UACGUAGGGGGCAAGCGUUGUCCGGAUUUAUUGGGCGUAAAGAGCGUGUAGGCGGCUUUACAGGUCCGUUGUGAAAACUCGAGGCUCAACCUCGAGACGCCAGUGGAAACCGUAAAGCUAGAGUCCGGAAGAGGAGAGUGGAAUUCCUGGUGUAGCGGUGAAAUGCGCAGAUAUCAGGAAGAACACCCGUGGCGAAGGCGGCUCUCUGGUACGUGACUGACGCUGAGACGCGAAAGCGUGGGGAGCAAACAGG